CCAAUAGCGUAUAUUAAAGUUGUUGCAGUUAAAAAGCUCGUAGUUGAAUUUCGGGAUCAAUAUAUCGGUCGUGCCAUCGGUACGUACUGGUAUGAUUGGUUUCUCCUUUCUGACGAACCGUGAUGUCAUUAAUUUGGUGUUAUGGGAAGUUAGGACUGUUACUUUGAAAAAAUUAGAGUGUUUAAAGCAGGCUUUAGCUUGAAUACAUUAGCAUGGAAUAAUGAAAUAGGACGUUCGAACCUAUUUUGUUGGUUUCUAGGAUCAACGUAAUGAUUAAUAGGGAUAGUUGGGGCAUUAGUAUUCAAUUGUCAGAGGUGAAAUUCUUGGAUUUAUUGAAGACUAACUACUGCGAAAGCAUUUGCCAAGGAUGUUUUCAUUAAUCAAGAACGAAAGUUAGGGGAUCGAAGACGAUCAGAUACCGUCGUAGUCUUAACCAUAAACUAUGCCGACUAGGGAUCGGAUGAUGUUAAUUUUUUAAUGACUCAUUCGGCGCCUUACA
rnacentral:rRNA from 1 species